rnacentral:rRNA from 1 species
CGGCAGGCUUAACACAUGCAAGUCGAGGGGUAACAGGAGUGCUUGCACUCGCUGACGACCGGCGCACGGGUGCGUAACGCGUAUAGAACCUACCUUUUACUGAGGGAUAGCCUUUAGAAAUGAAGAUUAAUACCUCAUGGUAUUGUAAACUGGCAUCGGUUUAUAAUUAAAGAUUUAUUGGUAAAAGAUGGCUAUGCGUCUUAUUAGCUAGAUGGUAAGGUAACGGCUUACCAUGGCAACGAUAAGUAGGGGCCCUGAGAGGGGGAUCCCCCACACUGGUACUGAGACACGGACCAGACUCCUACGGGAGGCAGCAGUGAGGAAUAUUGGGCAAUGGAGGCAACUCUGACCCAGCCAUGCCGCGUGCAGGAAGACUGCCCUAUGGGUUGUAAACUGCUUUUAUACAGGAAGAAACACACCUACGUGUAGGUGCUUGACGGUACUGUAAGAAUAAGCACCGGCUAACUCCGUGCCAGCAGCCGCGGUAAUACGGAGGGUGCAAGCGUUAUCCGGAAUCAUUGGGUUUAAAGGGUCCGCAGGCGGUCAAUUAAGUCAGAGGUGGAAUCCCAUAGCUUAACUAUGGAACUGCCUUUGAUACUGGUUGACUUGAGUUAUACGGAAGUAGAUAGAAUAAGUAGUGUAGCGGUGAAAUGCAUAGAUAUUACUUAGAAUACCGAUUGCGAAGGCAGUCUACUACGUAUAUACUGACGCUCAUGGACGAAAGCGUGGGGAGCGAACCAGGAUAGAUACCCUGGUAG